CCGCGGUAAAACCAGCUCCCCGAGGGGUUCCCACGCAUACUGGGCCUAAAGCGUCCGUAGCCGGCCCUGUAAGUCUGCAGUUAAAUCCGCCUGUAGACAGGCGGGUUGCUGCAGAUACUGCAGGGCUAGGGAGCGGGAGGAGCCGGGGGUAUUCCCGGGGGAGCGGUAAAAUGCGUAGAUCCCGGGAGGACCACCAGUGGCGAAGGCGCCCGGCUUGAACGCGUCCGACGGUGAGGGACGAAAGCUGGGGGAGCAAACCGGAUUAGAUACCCGGGUAGUCCCAGCCGUAAACGAUGCCGGCUAGGUGCUGGCCAAGGUUUCGGCCUUGGCCAGUGUCGAAGCGAAGGCAUUAAGCCGGCCGCCUGAGGAGUACGGCCGCAAGGCUGAAACUUGAAGGAAUUGACGGGGGGGCACCACAAGGGGUGAAUGCCUGCGGCUUAAUUGGACUCAACGCCGGGAAUCUUACCGGGGGCGACAGCAGGAUGAAGGUCAGGCUGAAGACCUUACCAGACGCGCUGAGGGGUGGUGCAUGGCCGUCGCCAGCUCGUGCCGUGAGGUGUCCUGUUAAGUCAGGCAACGAGCGAGACCCCCGCCCCUAGUUGCCAGCGGCCUCCUUCGGGAGGGACCGGGCAAACUAGGGGGACCGCCUCCGAAGAGGAGGAGGAAGGUGGGGGCUACGGCAGGUCAGUAUGCCCCUAAUCCCCCGGGCCGCACGCGGGCU
rnacentral:rRNA from 1 species